CAACAAAAUUGAAACAGUGACUAGGGCUAAAAUAAUGAAAGACUGCAAAGAAGAAAAAUACGGCAGAAUUAACAUACACUAGACUGCAAACCCUAAAUGAUAAAUGAAGACAAUAUAAAUGGCAACAAACUUGGGACUUAGUCAAGGUAGCAUGGCUCAGGUGAAUCGUACACCAGCUUUGCCAAUCCUUGCACAGAUUAAAGUGGACAGUUAAGGGGUUGAAAAUAUUAAUAAAAAAAAAUAAUAAAUAAAAAGUACAGGGAAGAAGAGAGGUUAUUUUUUUGGUUGUGAGGGUUUGCCAAUGACUAGAAAAAGAUUGCAUUUGAAUGUGAGUUGUUUGAAAUGAGAAUCAAAACAUGAAGGAGGGUGAGUGUCAUUUGUGACAAGGAGGAUAGAAUUGUGUAGUUUCUACAAUAACUGCUUCAGUGAGUUCAAAGAAGAUAUCAUGUGGACACUUGGAUUUCCCAAGCACUUAUAUUCCUCAUUAACAGAACUAGAUUGUGGACAUGAAUGUUGCUAAUUAAAUCACUCCCCCAUCCAUAUAUGUAUGUAUGUAUGUAUAUUUUUGGGUAAAUCACUCAUACCAAAUAGAUUUGGGAGUUUGUGUCUUGCACAGUUUAUUUUGCUUUUGAAUAUUAAUUCAAUCAUGUCUAAAUAUAAACACAACUUCAGUUCAAAGAACACAGUAGUAGUUGUGUGCACAUGUAUCUGUUUGAAUAUUAUCAUGAUUUGAUAUUAUACCUUUGUAGUUUCAAAAUAUUUGGUAUUUUGAAUGUGCCAUUUGGGUGUUAAUAUUUUCAAAAUAUUAUGGUUGUUCCAAAGCCUUGGGUAUAUUUUGAUGGUUUCUUUUUUUUCCCAAUUGGUGCUCUUGACUGCUCCUGGGGCAGUGAAGCAUUUUGAACCACCCCAAUUAUAGGCACACUGUGCCUAAAGAUGGCUCAGAACAAUCUCAUUAAAUGCUACUCAGAGGCUCAAGAUCCACAUGUAACCUUUUCUCCAAAUUAGCAAAUCCUACAAAAUUGGCUCAACAACAGUCAGAUUCUGGGAGCAUUUGCCAAGGUCUACAACAAAGUUGCAAGAAGAACAAUUUUAAAAUUAACAAAAAUUUAAAAGAAUACUGAUAAUAAUUUCAUUGGCUGUGGUGGUUGGUGACACCCAAACUCAAAUCUCUUGCAAAAGUAUCUUCCGGAAGAAGAAAAUCCCAACAGUGAUUUGAAACACCACUUUUUGAUGUGACAAAAAACAAAAUAGGAAUCAGCAGCCUAUUGCAACGUAAAAGUAGAAGAUCAUUCUCUGCAAAACUUAAAACCAAAGAUUGUUGUCUGAGGUUUUGUGUUGACUUCAACCCAGUUGUUGUUACAACUUCUCCCCCAUAUCAAAUCUCACUAAUUUGUUGCCUAUUUUCAAUACAACCUGAACAGCUUUGACGACUAGGGUUUUGAAUGGGGGGCUUUGGAGCAUCCUUGGGAAUAGUUCAGCAGUUGCCAUAAUGUGGCCCAAAUGACUGCAGCCCAAUCUCUCA
rnacentral:lncRNA from 1 species